rnacentral:rRNA from 1 species
UACGUAGGGUGCAAGCGUUGUCCGGAAUUAUUGGGCGUAAAGGGCUCGUAGGCGGUCCAUCGCGUCGGGAGUGAAAAGCUGGGGCUUAACCCCAGUCCUGCUUCCGAUACGGGUGGACUAGAGGUAGGUAGGGGAGAACGGAAUUCCUGGUGUAGCGGUGAAAUGCGCAGAUAUCAGGAGGAACACCGGUGGCGAAGGCGGUUCUCUGGGCUUUACCUGACGCUGAGGAGCGAAAGCAUGGGGAGCAAACAGG